GAACGCACAUUGCGCCCCCUGGUAUUCCGGGGGGCAUGCCUGUUCGAGCGUCAUUUCACCACUCAAGCCUCGCUUGGUAUUGGGCAACGCGGUCCGCCGCGUGCCUCAAAUCGACCGGCUGGGUCUUCUGUCCCCUAAGCGUUGUGGAAACUAUUCGCUAAAGGGUGUUCGGGAGGCUACGCCGUAAAACAACCCCAUUUCUAAGGUUGACCUCGGAUCAGGUAGGGAUACCCGCUGAACUUA
rnacentral:misc_RNA from 1 species